AUGGAGUCUGGACUGAGCUGGAUUUUCCUUGUUGCUCUGUUACAAGGUGUCCAGUGUGAGGUGCAGCUGGUGGAGUCUGGGGGAGGCUUGGUCCAGCCUGGUGGGUCCCUGAAACUCUCUUGUGCAGCCUCUGGAUUCACCUUCAGCAGCUACUCAAUGUACUGGGUCCGCCAGGCUUCAGGGAAAGGGCUGGAGUGGGUUUCACACAUUAAUCCUAAUGGUGGUAGCACAAACUAUGCAGAUGCUGUGAAGGGCCGAUUCACGAUCUCCAGAGACAACGGCAAAAACACACUGUAUCUUCAGAUGAACAGUCUGAAAGCUGAGGAGAGGACACGGCUGUGUACUACUGUGCAAGAGACACGGUGAUCCCUCCUCUUUUGGGAUUCUAG